UAGCGUUACCAGUAAUAAUACUUGUUGUUGUUGUUUGUAGGUUUCAAAAAUCAACAAACCUUCGUGUCCACAAAAACUGUUCUUUUUUCUAUCAUUUCUAUCACUUUUUUGUCCCUCUAAUCUGAUAAUUUCGGGAAACUUGUAAGGUUGGUUACGACUUUAUCUCUCAUGUAAUAUCUAAUUCAUUUAUUAAUGAAAAACAAUAUUGCACAGGCUCUAUUAUCGUCCUCUCCUUGCUGAGGUUACAACUGCAUUUUCUAAGGUUACAGUUUCAGCGAAAUGACUGAGUUUCUCGCUUCACUUGAUCUUUGAAGAAUAACUAGACAAAGGAAUUAAAAGUAUGGAGAAUCUCAAGAAUAAAGUACUUGGACUAAUCAACAAACAGGGCUCAGAGGGAAAAAUUCCUAUCAUUAGUUUUGAUCAAGAUGCAUCUCAGUUUUUUGGUCAAGAUGAGGAUGAGCCGCCUUUACCAAGUGUGUCAACUUACACUGAUGAGAACAGGAAAUGUGACACCGAGAUACUAGAAAGCAUCAAUCCUGAUUAUUUUCAAAAUAACGGCUUUGAUGCCUGUGCGUACGAACUAGAGAAAUUACCUGAAGUGCUGGAUGUUUACCAACUACAGCAGAACAUUAAAACACUGAGGCAGCAGCAGAUCGUUGUGUCAAAGAAGGUGUAUCAGCUGAUUCUGGACAAACAUAGAGCAUGCGAGGAAGAAAUUAAAAAGAAUUCAAGUUUUACAGCAAGAUUUAAAUGA
rnacentral:lncRNA from 1 species